CAGCCCUCCCUCUGCUUCGGGAGAGGCGCCAAGGGACGGAGAUGGCACUUGCGGUGUCGCUUUACCCUCCGGUUUUCUGCCCUGUCCUGCCUGUUGGGUCAGACGCGGUUUGGGUCUGGUCGGAGCGGAGCUGCUCGCUGGGCUCCCUGAGCCGUUGUGCGCCUACCUUUUCUUCUCAAACUCCUCCAAGCAUACAGAGAGGAUACUUAGGUUACGUUUACCAGGACCUAGUGCCCUUUCAACUUCAUCACAGAAAGCAGUGGGAAAAUGCACAUCACGCUUCCAGCAUGAAUGUGUCUAGAAUACAUAUUGCAAAAUAAAGGUCUAAAUCCUGCAGUGAGAACCCUCUUCCUGUAAUUGAAGUGCAUCUCUACAAACGGCAAUUACAUUAUCCACCAAAGACACAGAAAAGCGAGUAUUCCCUUCAGUCUCUACAUACCUAAAGCCUGCUUUCAUGUACUGUUCCAUAACAACUGCUGGACAGCUCAGCAGCUGAUGGUUCUUACUGCUUUCAGCAGGACUGUCUCCAGCUGCUUCAUGUCUUUCUCCAUGUGCAGUCUCCAAAGCUGGACACAGUACGCCACCUGGAACCUAGAUAACUGUUUGUAAGAAAAGGAUAAUUGUCUAUG